rnacentral:rRNA from 1 species
CAGGGGGAUAACCCGGAGAAAUCCGGCCUAAUACCGCGUAACACCUUUUGAGAGCAUUCCCGGGAGGUUAAAGGAGAGAUCCGGCAUAGGAUGGACAUGCGUCGCAUUAGGUAGACGGCGGGGUAACGGCCCACCGUGCCGACGAUGCGUAGGGGUUCUGAGAGGAAGGCCCCCCACACUGGUACUGAGACACGGACCAGACUCCUACGGGAGGCAGCAGUGAGGAAUAUUGGUCAAUGGCCGAGAGGCUGAACCAGCCAAGUCGCGUGAGGGAAGAAUGUCCUAAGGAUUGUAAACCUCUUUUGUCGGGGAGCAAAAAGGCUCUGCGGAGUCGUAUUGAGAGUACCCGAAGAAAAAGCAUCGGCUAACUCCGUGCCAGCAGCCGCGGUAAUACGGAGGAUGCGAGCGUUAUCCGGAUUUAUUGGGUUUAAAGGGUGCGCAGGCGGCGUGUCAAGCAAGCGGUAAAAUAGCGGGGCUCAACCCCGUCGAGCCGUUUGAACUGGCGCGCUUGAGUUCAGGCGAGGUAGGCGGAAUUCGUGGUGUAGCGGUGAAAUGCAUAGAUAUCACGAAGAACUCCGAUUGCGAAGGCAGCUUACCAGUCUGCGACUGACGCUCAGGCACGAAAGUGUGGGUAUCGAACAGGAUUAGAUACCCUGGUAGUCCACACAGUAAACGAUGAGCACUGGGUGUCCGGGUCGCAUGAGACUGGGUGCCCGAG